rnacentral:lncRNA from 1 species
UCAGCACACAGCAAAUGUUACCCUUAAGUGGUGUUUUCUGUCUGAGAGCAAGGCAUGYUUUAUUAGCACAGUAAAUGUAUUAGUGAAGACUAAAAGAAUAACAACUUUCCAGUUGAGAGCCAUAUUCCCAGCAGGUAUAUGAUGUAUAAGCACUUAAAAGAAACCAAGACAGUUUACGUAUUCUAAUGAGGUGACUGAGUCAUGAACUUACAGAGCUAUUCUCUCAUGUUUCCAAGACUGUUGGACACUCCCUCAGAUCAUCUCAGUAAACAUGCAGAAGAAUGCUUCCAGAGAUGACUCUGUAUUGGUGACAAAUUCUAAGGACUUCAAGAUACAGAGAUUGAACCUCUAUGCAGGAGCCUUUCUGUUUCUGAAGUUCUUCUCUGAAUUCUGAAAUUUCCCUCCCUAUCUCAGGACAAGCAUUUACUGACCUCUGGACAGUUAGCAGGAAAAGUCUUCACUUCAUAAGUAAUAUAAAUAAGAAAAACUCCCUGUAUCGUUUGUAUGUAUUUGAGAAAYCAUUUUAAACUUUAAACGUAUUUGGCAAACAUAGUAUCUGACAUUUAAAAUCUUAUUAAUAUUUGGAUGAGAAUCCUGGAAGACUCUUGAAAUUUAUGUGGCAAAUAUGCCUGGACAUCUGUAUGAAGUUUUUCCUGGGUACAAAGAAACUUCUUCUGUGAAAUAU